UGACCUCAAAUCAGGUAGGACUACCCGCUGAACUUAAGCAUAUCAAUAAGCGGAGGAAAAGAAACUAACAAGGAUUCCCCUAGUAACUGCGAGUGAAGCGGGAAAAGCUCAAAUUUAAAAUCUGUCAGUCUUUGGCUGUCCGAGUUGUAAUCUAGAGAAGUGUUAUCUGCGUUGGACCGUGUACAAGUCUCCUGGGAUGGAGCGUCAUAGAGGGUGAGAAUCCCGUCUUUGACACGGACUACCAAGGCUUUGUGAUGCGCUCUCAAAGAGUCGAGUUGUUUGGGAAUGCAGCUCAAAAUGGGUGGUAAAUUCCAUCUAAAGCUAAAUAUUGGCGAGAGACCGAUAGCGAACAAGUACCGUGAGGGAAAGAUGAAAAGAACUUUGGAAAGAGAGUUAAACAGUACGUGAAAUUGCUGAAAGGGAAACGCUUGAAGUCAGUCGCGUUGUCCAGGGAUCAACCUUGCUUUUGCUUGGUGUACUUUCUGGUUAACGGGUCAACAUCAAUUUUGAUCAUUGGAAAAAAGUUAAGGGAAUGUGGCAUCUUUGGAUGUGUUAUAGCCUUUGAUUGUAUACAAUGGUUGGGAUUGAGGAACUCAGCACGCCGCAAGGCCGGGUUUUUAACCACGUACGUGCUUAGG
rnacentral:rRNA from 1 species